UGAUAUCAUUUGUGCAUAGGUUUUGCAAAGACCUCAACUAGCAAAAAACGUGCAAAAAAAUAUUAUUCUAAAUAAAGAAGUUAAAUUCCAAAAGUUCUUAAUUUAAUGUAGUUUUUACAUUUAAUUUCUUUGACACAUCAUUACGCAUACAUCUAUGUUGGAUAGAAUACAAAGCUCUCUGUGACGAGUCACUAUUAUGAGAAUAGCAGUUCAGUAUAUUUUCAUUCUUACACUUUGUGGAUCUUCACAUGGAACAUCCAAAGUGAAGCGUGAUAUAUCCGACUUGAAGAAUGAUCCGAUCCUUAGUUCUAUUUUCGCUUCUGAUAAGGAAAACAGCAGAAAGGAUAGGUCAAUCAUAAAUGAUCACCAUGAUAGUAAUUUAAAAAAACAAUUGUUAGAGAACACUGAUAAACAAAAAAGAGAUGCUGACUUGUUGCCAGAGUUGAUGACAUUAAAUUCUAAUAGCAACAAUAAUGAACCAAUUAUCAGUAAACCUAUACCAAUACCUGAUAAUGAUCCAGCUCUUCUUGUUCUGGAUACAUCACAAUCAGCAGUCAACCCAUCUGCAUUGUUUGCUAAUUUUUUACCACUUACUUCUGAUGCUCAGCAAGGAUCUUUUCUUUCUUGGUAUCCAUGGAGUGGCAAAGUCAAUACCAUUUCUAAUAAACCUUAUACAAUGAGUAAAAAAUCUGUAUUGCCUAACAUCUUUGAAGAUAUUAAUAUUCCUUUGACUGUAGAUAAGAAAGAUGAUGUUCCUCAUGUUCAUCGUAGUUCUUUUCCAGUACAACUUAGAGUUCAUUCUCCCAAUGAAAAUUUGUUGGGAAUAGUUCCACAUGUUCCAGAAUAUGGCGAAACUGUUGCUUCAAUACAAACAGCUAGAAGUUUAGUUGAAAAUACUAGAAGUUCAAUUCCACAUCCUUCAGACAAUUUAGCAAUCAAAGCUCCAGAGGAUGAAGUUAUUGUGACCAAAAGCAUUAUUCCUAACACUAUAUUUACAAAUAUACCUGCACCAGCAGCAGUUGAAAAAAAGUCUGUUACCAAUGAACAAAAGCGUCAAUACAUUCCUACAAUGCAGCUAAACAAUUUGUUUUACCCACAAUACCAACAGUAUCAAGUUCCACAAUAUUCGAACUAUUUGCAAUAUCCAGCAAUUAAUGUUCAGCAGAGCCCAAUAGUGCAACCUAUGUAUCCAUCAACAGUUCAAAGUCUGCAACAGCAAAGUGCUAUUUCAAAUGAACCUUGUACCGAUCAAUAUCCAAUGUGUACAGCCUUUGCAAAAAACAACUACUGUUUUAAUUAUCCAGAUCUCAUGAAAAUUCAGUGUCGCAAAUCAUGUGGACAUUGUAUUCCAUCAUUUACACCUGUGGAAACAGUAGUUGCAAAUGAUACCACUGCAAAUGUUGAAAACCAAUCAAAAUCAGCUGUAAUCAAAGCAGCAAAAGGUAGAGAUUCUAAAAAAUCUAAUGAUAAAGGUUCAAAGUUAACAGAAAAAGUAAAAAAAGUAAAAUCAAAAUCCAAAAUAACAACAAUUGUUGUGCACAAAAAACCAGAUGAGAAGUUGAAGACUCAAACUAUUAAGCAUAAAGAGUUUGAUGGAAAAGCAACUGUUUCAACUAGCAAAUAUAAAAAUGAAGGAAUCGAUGAAGAAGAUAGUGGCUCUGGGUCAAGUGGUUCUGGAUUAGAUGCUGAGGGUGAAAGUGGUCUGAGUGAAGAGUCAGGAUCUGGAGUUAAUACUGUGAACACAAAAUCUUUUAAUGUCAGUAAAAUCUUAAUAACAAAAAAUAAUACAAAACCCCACACAACCGUGAAAAAAUUGGUAGAUGCAAAAAUUCAAGGUACUGAAAAAAAGAGCAGAAGAAGCAAAAUACCUGAUAAGAAACAGGUUUCACAUCCAGGAUUUAGUGAAUUCAAACUACCAGUAAAAAAGAGUGUUAUUCCUGUCUCAUCACUUGCAUUAGCUGAUAAAAAUGGAGAUGAUAUAGAUAGUGGUUCAGGUGACUCAUUGAUUGAAACUGCUUCAACAAAAAGUAAAAUUGUUUCAAAUGUAACUGAAAAAUCAUCAAGUCAGCAAUCAGCUAAACCACUUCCAAAAGUAUUAACAAAAGCAGUAAAGAAGAAAAACUCAAAAAACAUUCUUAUUAAUGUUCCAAAAUCUAAAAAUAAAAACAUUGGGCAUGCACAAAAUGUUUCCAUAAUUGCAAAACCAAAAAGCAAAACAAAAAAAACCAAAAAACAAGGAGUAAAUAUUAAAAUUGUUCAUAAAGAAAAAAAAAAUAAAGCUAAAACAAAAAGAAACCAACACAAAAUUUUAGUUGUGAAGAAAAACAAGGGAGAGAAAAAUGUGACUGUUAAAGUUGAAAACAAAUCAACAAAAAACAAAACGAACAUCAAAAAGAAAGAUGAACAAAUAAUAGUUAAGAAGCAGGAGAUAAGCCAAAGACCAGAAAAUGCUAACUCUGCCAUAUUUGCAAGCAAAUAUCCAAGGAUUGAUCUUCGUGCAAUUGCUAAUGCAUUGGCUAAAUAUGAAUCAGCUGCUUUAGAAUUAGCAGGUGAAUACCCAAAACCAGCACAAUUUGACAUGACUGAAUAUCAAAGAUCAAGUAUACCUCAUCCAGAAACUCUUUAUGUAAACAACAUUGAACAAAAUAUACAAAUAGCUGAACUUGUUACUAAAACUGAACGAGAUAAAAAAAAUAUAAUACCAAAGUAUUUAAAACUUUCCACUGAUGUCUUCAAAGAUGGAGAUUCCUUUCUUGAUACAGAGAAUGCUGAUAGCCUUGAUUCAGUAAGGCGGCGAUUUGAAAUUCCAGGAAUAGAACCAACUUUAAAUGAUUACUAUUCUGAAACUGGAAAAAUCAAUCCAUUUUCUUCAAAACAAAACAGAUAUAAAAAGAGCCAGAUUAUGAAGAUCAAAACGAUGAAUACAUCUUCAGAUCCUUAUGAAUACUUGAGAAAUAUGCCUCCUGGGGCUUCUAUGGAACCUAUAGAAGAUCCAAGAAAGCGUUCAAAUAUUCCAUCGGAUCAUUCGUUUCCAGUUUUUCUAAUGAAAGUAUCACCUGCUGACCAAAAAUAUAAACCAGAAGAAGCCUCAAAGCGAGGAAAAGUUCACCACUUAAAUGCAGAAGGCUUACCUAUUGAUGAUAAAGAGAAUGGAAACAAUAAUGCUCCUAUAACAUCAUCUCCAGUAGAAGAUCAUCAUGACACUCAACAAAAUUUUGUGAACACUGCAUUAGUAAGUCCAAUGAAUAUACCUUCGUAUCCCCAAGCCAUGCAGUUUGUUCCCCCGCCUUACAUGCAACCUGGGUUUUUUCAGUAUCCAGGAGUACCAGCUUUACCAGAGGAACAUGCAGCAGUUUCUCCACCAAUAGGUUUUACUGUUGAACAGCUCACAGCACCAAGAACAAGUACUGCUUUUGCACAUGAAGAUCAAGUUGAAAAUCAGCCAAAGGAUUCUUUAAGGAGCAAAAUGCUAAGUGCUUUUUUUACUGUAAAAAAUGGAGAGGGUGUUUCAGAUGAAGGAUCUGGCGCAACCUCAAGUGAUAAAAUAGGAAAAAGCAAUUUAGGUGAGACAGGGUCAGGCGAUGGUAAUGAAGAUGCACAAAAGCCAGUUAUAUCACUUCAUAACCUUCUUAAAAAUGAUUUACUGUUAUCAGAUGAUAAAUCAUCAAAUAUUGGAAAAUCUAGCAGUUUCAAAAGCCCAUCAAACAACCAACAGGAUCCCUCUGCAAAUUAUUUGCGGUCUAACUUAGCAGCGCUUACUCCAGAGAGUGGAAAGUCAAAUACUGAUGAACAAUCUGUUAUGUCUGGUGAACAUGCAAUGUCUACAAAAAUGAGAAAAACUCAAGAAACUAACUGGAUGCGUCCGAAUCCUGAGUCUGAACUAGCAUCAGCAUUACCUGAAUCAUACAUAGAUUCUUCAGAUUUGAACAAAGUUGAACAUCCAUCGGAAAGGGAGUUAGAAAUAGUUCCUAAAAGGAAAAUAAAAGGAAGUCAUUUAGCAAAAAAAGUUCCUGGAGAUGCCCACUUUUCUAAUUACUUGGUAAAAAAACACAGCAAAGAAGCUUUUGAGAAACACAGUUUUCAUCUGUUUAAACCCUUGCAUCGUUUUAAUGAAAAGAGUAUAAACCAUCUUUUAACAAAAGUUGAAGAAGACGCAAAUCUAAGCUCUAAGUUUAAGGACCAUAAAUUAAAUAUUAAUUUUAAUAAAAACCCAGCUUAUCAUGAUAACAGAAAUGAAUAUGAUUCUGAUAGAUAUUCAAUAUUUGACUCUCAAAAGUCAAAGAUUAAGCAUAAAUUGGCUUAUUUUCCUGUGAAAGGAAAGCAUCUCAGUAAAUUUAUCAAUAGCAGUAAUGUUAACUUUAAUAUACUCUUAAAUCGAAAUUUUCCUCAUAAGUAUAAUUCUUUAAUAAGGCCACUUAGUAUAGUACAUAAAACAAGUUUUCCUUCUAUAUAUAUACCUCCUGACCGUUAUUUUGAAAAAUAUGAUCCGGUUUUAAAAAAAAAUCUUAUUCAGCAUACAUUAAAGAAUAUCAAUUAUGGUAAAAUGAAAACAACAUCAAAUAAAGGUAACUUUAGACACCUUUUUAAUAAAGUUCAUACUAGUCAAUCUUCCCAUGUACGUCCUCAAAAUUUGAUUGGUCGAAAAUAUAUUGAACAGCCUGCUGAUCACAAAGCAGUAUUAAAAACUUUUCUUCAAAGCCAAGCAAAAGGUUCUCUUGGUUAUGCCUUUUAUGAUAAACUACUAUCAAAUGGUUAUUCAAAAAAAAUAGAUUCAAAGAGAAGAAAAGUUGCUGCAAACAGCAAGAGUGUUCCUUCAAAGGAGACUUCUAGCCAUCAAAAUUCAUUGAACCAAGCAUUUUUAAUGGAAAAUGCUUCACCACGCGAUCAAAUACCAUCAAAAUAUAUUACAACCAAAAAAGCAAUAAUGCAAGCAGAUAUGGUACGUGGACAACCAACAUCUGAUAUAACUAAAAAAUUUAUCAACCAAAAAAAAGUUUUGAGUAAAAACUUGUUUGAGAGUUUCCCAUCCCAAGAUAUAGCCAUAACUCAUCUUAAAGAUGAUAUUGAUAAAUCUAUUCUUAUGGAAUUUCCUAAAUCACCUUUUUCUUCUCACAAUAUAAAUAGUUUUGCUAAAGAAGCUAACAAUCCUUUAAAUACAAAAAGUUUUGUAAACAAGAACUUAUUAAUAUCUUUGAACUCAAAAUCAUCUCAAAAUAAUCAAAACAAUGGAUAUUCUAACAGAGAUAAAAUACCAAAUUUUAAUAGAGAUAAUAUACAAAACAACAUUCCAUACUUAUGGAGACAGUAUUCUAACAAUAUAGUUCCGAGUAUUUCUGUUGCUUCUGAAUCUCCAGAUUUUCAAAUGCCAGUUCAAGUUUCAUUUAGCAAACAAGAAUCUUCUUUACUUUCAGCAAAAGUAGGUUCUGCAAAGUAUGAGCAAAACCCUGUAGCUCAAAUUGUAGCAAACAAGCAAUUAGAUGCUGGUUCUGGUCAGAAUUAUCUUAAUCAAGCUGGGGUUUCAGUGCAACCUUUAUUGCAUAAUACAAUGGAAUCAAAAAAACAAACAAUAUCACAAGGGGUUCGUAAAAACCUUAUAAAACAACAACCAGAUCUUGAUUGUGGGGAUGAUUGGGAAGGUGCUCGCGGAGAUUUUGGAACAUUUUGUUAUAAAGAAAUUAAAGUAAAAGCUACAUUUGAUGAUGCCCUUGCAGAGUGCCGAAGACUAAAGGGAGAUCUCUUUAGUAUAUUAAAUGCUUAUGAAAAUCGAUAUCUUCAGGAUAAUAUACAUGAAAGGUUUUGGAUUGGUUACAGAGAUAAAGGUAUGGAUGGUAACUGGAAUUGGACUGAUGGUAGUAAGAGUAUUUAUACAAAUUGGGCUAAUAAUGCAGAUGGUGAUGACAGCAAACGAUUUGAUUGUGUUUAUGUUGAGGCUGACCAAGGGUUGUGGAAAGAUGCACCUUGCAAUAAAAAACAACCUUUUUUAUGUAAAAAGAAAAAAGAAGUUUGUCCAAAAGAUUGGAAAAAUUUAAAACUUAAUUCAGCUAAUGGUUGCUAUAAACUUUUUGAAACAUCUUUGGGAUGGGAAGAUGCAGAGCAUGAAUGUGAAAAAAACCAUUCACAUUUAGCAAGUUUAACAAGUGAAGACGAACAAACUAUGGUUUAUCAGGUGCAUUCAUCAAAGUCUUUUUGGAUUGGGUUUAAUGACCGAGAGAAUGAAGGAGAUUGGAUGUGGAGUGAUAGAACAACCUCUUCAUACACAAAUUGGGCUGAAAGGGCGCCUACUAAUGGUGGACUAAGUUGUACUUCAAUGAUAGAUGGUGGGAAGUGGCAUGAUGAACCUUGUGGAGAAAAAUAUAAAUUUGUUUGCAAAAGAAAAGGCCCACAACCAGAGAAAACUGAAGGCAUGGAUAGUGAUGGAGUAUUACUUCCAGUUGCUCGAUUAAUGAUGAGACCUGAAACCUCUCCAAGCCAUAUUUAUGAUGACAUAGCAAAAGGUGGAUUACAUCCAGUGACUCCAAAAUUUUUUUGGCCUCUGUUGAAGAUUAGUAAAUCUGGUCUAGCAGGCAAUAGACCUAUGGCAGCUCAUGGUGGUGUUAGAGUUGUGCCUGGGGGUGUUGCUUUAGAUGGUAUUCAUGGCUUUUUGGAUGGUGGAGAUUUUCAUGGAAAGUGUCUAGCAGAUCCUAAGAAAUGUAUUAAAGGCUUCACAAUAGCAAUACAUAUUUAUUUUGAUAAAAUUGUCCGGCAGUACAAAAAAGAGCAUUGCGUAAUUGACACAUCUGGAGGAGGUAAAGGCUUCACAAUUUUUAUUGCUAAUAACAAACUGAAUUAUAAAGUUGUUACAGAUGAGCAAACAUGGCAUCUUCAAACAGAUCUCACUGUAGAAAUUUGGGAACAAAUUGUUAUGACCUGGCAUAAAGAUAAAGGAUUAUCUGUGUUUGUUAAUGGAGCCUUUAAAGAUUCAGAAACUACAAGUAAAAAGUCUGUUAUAGUUUCUAAUGGACCCACACGUUUAAUUGUUGGCAGAGAAGAUAAAGAUAAAGGCCCAUACUCAUGUACAAAGAUGGUUGUUGCCUCAGUUGCUAUUUUUACCAAAAUGCUUUCUAUUGAAGAUGUGCCUUAUGCAUUCACUUAUGGAGAUACUGUGGUUGCAAGUUAUCGAUGGCUAAUGUCAGGUGUUCAAGAAUCAGUUGUUCCAGGUGCACCUGAAAUUGAAGUAAAGAAUACCCCAACCGAUAUAGAUGGAGGUAUAUUUAUUGAUGGAACAAAAAAUUGGUUAGAAAUAGAUGAGUUGGAUCCAAUGAUUAGUGAUGUUUACUCUAAAGCUAAACAUGGUUUUGCAAUUAGUUUUAAAAUAAAAUUUGAUCAAAGGGUUAGAGAGUACAGAGAGCCACGCUAUGUUAUUGACUCUGGUGGUCAUGUGGGUGGAAUUAGAGGUGUGUCUGUAUUUGUUGUCAAUGACAACUUAUACUUUCAAGUUAUUGAUAGCCCUGAUGAAGAUGUUUUGAUAUGGAAAGUUCGAGUUCCUGUUUACACGGUUCGAUGGCAGCGAGUAAUGAUGAGUUGGAGGCUCGACAAAGGUUUGUGGGUAUAUUUAGAUGGAGCUUUUCGGGGGUUUACAAAAACACCUAUAACCUUGCCAGAAGAAAUUAAAGAAAUACCAAAAAAGUUAGUUGUUGGUAGGAAAAUCAUAGGGCCUGAUUAUGCAGGAGCACAAUUUGCUUUUGGUUGUUUAGCUGUUUAUGGUCGAUACCUUUCACACAAAGAGUCAAAUUUGGUUUUUGGUGGAGCUGACAACCCAUUUCCUGGCAUUAUUAGAGAAGUGUGGAAAAAUUUACCAGGAGAAAAUAUUACUGUUUUAGAAAAAAAUCCUGAUUACCCAAACAACCCAACAACAAUUGAAAUAAUUGAAAAUUUCGAUGCUCCGUUUAAUGUUGAUAAUGACUAUGGCUCUAAAGUGAAAGGCUAUUUCAUUGCACCUGAAACUGGAAACACAACAUUUUAUUUGUCAUGCAGUAAAUCUUGUAAGUUGUUUUUUAGUGCUGAUGAAGAAUCAAAAAACAAGACUGUAAUAAUUUCUCUUAAUAAACCAACAUGGCACAAUCAAUGGAACAAAUAUGCUAACCAAUCAUCAAAAGAAAUUUAUUUAGUUGCUGGGAAGUUUUAUUUUCUUGAGGCAAUUCAGAAAGGUGUUGAUGCAAGUGAUUCACUUAGUGUUGGUGUUCGUAUGCCUACUGGAAGAUAUCAAAGGCCAAUUAGUAUUGAAAAUCUCCAAUGGCGUUUACCAGGUAAUCAACAUGCAGGUUUAAUCAGAGAAGUGUGGUAUAACAUACCUGGUUAUUCUAUAUCAGAUUUAACAUCAAACAUCAACUUCCCAUCUAAACCUUCCAGUACAGAAGUGCUUGAUAAAUUUGAUGCUCCUUUUAAUGUAGAUGAUAACUAUGGCUCACGAAUAUCAGGGUAUUUUCGUGCUCCUGACACUGGCGAUUACAGGUUUUAUUUGGCAACUGAUAGUAGUGGAGAACUUUGGCUCAGUUCAGAUGAUAGUGAAAGCAAUCUUGUCAAGCUAAUUACACUGAAUGGUUGGACUGAUCAUAAUCAGUGGCUUAAGUAUCCUGAACAGAGGUCUGAGAAAAUAUUUCUUGUAUCUGGUCAGUACUACUUUAUUCGUGUUUACAUGAAAGCAGAUAAGUUAGGAGACUGUGCAUCUGUUGCUGUUGAAUUACCAAGUGGUCAUUUUGAAGGACCAAUUAAAAAGAAACAUCUAUCUUGGAAACUUACUAACUCUAAAGAAGGACCUGGACCUAAAGAGAUAAUUGAACCCCUACCUAAGCCAGUUGGUUUGUUUGCUUUAAAUGAUGCCUCAGUAAAGGACAUUUUACUUCCAGGUGAAAACAAAAUAAUUCUUGGUGAUGUUGAUCUAACCUCAGGACCAACAGGCCUUAAAGAUGACGCAUUCUUGUUCAAAGGGAAUCGUUCCUCAUACAUUGAAAUACCAAAUGAUGGAAAAUUAGAUGUAAAACACUCUUUAACAAUCCUGGCAAAUAUAUAUCCAAUGGGUGAAGAUGGUCCCAUCAUUAAUUUUAAACGAGAUGGUUGGGGAGUUCAUUUAUGGCAGUUUAGUAAGACACAACUUUUUGUUAGAUUUGUAACACGUGAAGGAAAAAUGAGUAUGCAGCCUUUGGGUACAAGAGUGUUACAACUCAAUAAAUGGAAUCAAGUUGGUGCUACUUAUGACAAAAGUUCUGGUGUAGCUCAGUUAUGGCAUGAUGGGAAGAUGGUUAAAAGCAGAAAUAUAGGACAAGUAGACCUUUUGACUAAUGCACCUAUUAGACUUGGUGCCAGAGAAGGUGAUGAUCGUUUUUUCAAGGGAAAAAUUGCAUGUAUUCAAAUAUAUGACAGAGCUUUAAGUGCUGAUCAAAUUGGUGAAGUUAAACACUGUCCAAAACAGAGUAAAGGUUCUCCAAUCGACAUUGAUGAUUUAACAGUAUUUGCUCAAGGAUCUGGUAUUGGACCUCGACUUGAAGAGUCAGAGUCAGUGGAGAACAGAAUUGGUGAAGACACUGAAGAAGAACUUAUUGUUCGGUCAUAUUUUAAAGUUGGAAACAGUUCUAUUAUUACAAAUGAGAAAAUGAGUCAUUUUUGAAUUGGUAUCAAUCAAUUGGGGGUCAUUAGUUGUUUUGUUUUUAAAUUUUUUUCACUUUCACCUAAUCACAAAGUAUCUCCCAGGAAUACUAUGACAUAUGACAUUUUUUUACCUGGAUUCACUUUUAUCUUCAGCUGAAAAAUAGAUUCCUUACAAAAGAGCAGUUUAUUAUGGACUUUGGAUGCUGAUUAGGUAAUGGAUAGUCCAAGGAGAAAGAAGCAAAGUAACUCGAUGCGAUCCUAGUCCUUGUUUGAACAGUGGUGAAUGUAUUGAUGAUGA
rnacentral:misc_RNA from 1 species